rnacentral:rRNA from 1 species
GAUGAACGCUGGCGGCGUGCUUAACACAUGCAAGUCGAACGAGAAGUGAAGACGGAAACCUUCGGGCGGAAGGCUUUAUUUCGAGUGGCGGACGGGUGAGUAACGCGUGGGUAACCUGCCUCAUACAGGGGGAUAACAGUUGGAAACGACUGUUAAUACCGCAUAAGACCACAGCACCGCAUGGUGCGGGGGUAAAAACUCCGGUGGUAUGAGAUGGACCCGCGUUCGAUUAGCCAGUUGGCGGGGUAACGGCCCACCAAAGCGACGAUCGAUAGCCGAUCUGAGAGGAUGACCGGCCACAUUGGGAAUGAGACACGGCCCAAACUCCGACGGGAGGCAGCAGUGGGGAAUAUUGCACAAUGGGGGAAACCGUGAUGCAGCGACGCCGCGUGAGUGAAGAAGUAUUUCGGUAUGUAAAGCUCUAUCAGCAGGGAAGAAAAUGACGGUACCUGAGUAAGAAGCCCCGGCUAACUACGUG